AAAAUUACUAAACAAUAAGACUAAAACCAAGGGAAACUAAGUAGUUAAAGAAAUAAUGUUUCCAUACAGAAUUUCCAUAAAUGUUAGGGUUUCAGAAGUCCUAGCUGUGAACUAGUAUAACUGUUAUUUCUAGUACUGAUGUUAUUUUCUCCAAUAUAACUUGUAAUUUAUGUACUUUUCUACUCAAGAAAGAAAAACAAUGGAAAAGAAAUUGCAUGUAUGAGUCUGAAAGUAAGUCCUGCAGCAUGCUUUUCAGUUGUGUGCAGCAAGGAAGGAAAACACAACAUAACUACAUGAAUGAAACAAAGAAAGUUAUCCACACCGAUGGAACUGGAAGGACUAAUGAGUUAGCUGUCAUCUGCACUACAUCAGCCCAAAAACCUGUCUAGUCUGGUAGCAAAAUACCAAAAGCCUUGAAAAACGUCAAUUGGUAUGGCAGGAACCCAGUAAUAUGACCUCCCUGUAAUGUCACAGAUUUACCAAGCAAAAGCUUCAGUUUCUUCUUUGAAGACAUCUUGCCCCUCCCAGAGUUUGGAGAAGGAAGCUGAAAUGUGAGAGGUGGCUCGUUCUGGGGCACGCAUGCAUGACUCCAAAUAGAAUUUGUGUCUGCUCUUUGGAUUGUAAACUGGGCCACGCUAAUUGCUGUAAUCUCAGCCUCUUCAGACAGCAGGAAGCAUGUUCGUUUACAAGCAUAUGCUACAUCUCACAUCGUACUCUUCCAGAUAAUGCCAGUCACAGAUUAAAGGUAACCUUUAACUUGGCCCUAAUAAUAAGGCAACAUAAAGGUGCAGAAGGCGGCUGCUGCAGCUUCACUGGUAUCCUUCAGAUAAAAUGAUUAAAAUUACAUCUUUCAUUUGGUACAAGAGUCAUUUAACAGAACACUGUAAACAGAUCAAUGUCUCCUGCUUUGCGUCAGCAUCUCUAUAGUAGCAAGAGACAAUUAUCGUGUAGCAUCCUAUUCAACAGCCAUCACCUAGCUUGUAAUGCAGUCUUUAAACUAAGGUCAUCUUUGUCUUCAACGCAGAGACUCAUUUUUUUCAUACUUUUUGUACUUCUUUUUCUUCUCUCAAGUCCACAUUCUAGGCCUGAAUGUCACAGUAGGUCUAAGUGAACUGUGCCUAAAAAAGAGGGGAAUUUCGUGGGCAAUUUUGGAAGGCGCAGUUUGGGCAGAUGUGAGGAAAAGUAAUAUUUAUUCAGAACUCUUUCUCUGAGUUUGUGGAUAAGGGCACAUCCAGCACUGAAGUGUUUAGUUCUAGCUACUUAAUGCUGUUUGCUGCUCACGAAUACCAUGUCUCUGCCCUACAGCCUUAUUUCAGCAUCAGAAUGUCAAUCAUACCAUAUGCUUUUGCAUAGUCAUUUUUAAACGUAACACCACUUUCUUACUGCUUUGUCAGCUUGCUGUAUGCCAUACUCAGUUGUGUUGGCUGGUAGAACAGUGUUAUUAGCAUGCUACGAGUAAACCUGUUGACAAUAUUUUUGGUUUUGCUUGAAACUUCUCCUGUUUCUUGUUGCCAACAAAUUUUGCUUUUCUGAUGCCUUACAUUAUCUACACCUUAAAGCUGUACUUUAAUCCUUUUGGUCUAACUAUUGAUUUCUCUAGUGAUGGGAAGGGUACAUACUUGCUUUUAAGGGAGUUGAUUUUAAAACCAUUAGAGGUGUUUCUGUGGAUGUCUAUUAAAUUUUGAUUUUGCUAAUAGACAAGGUCAGUUCUACACUGCACCUUUCAGCAACUGUCAUCAUAUUAGAGUAACCCUAAAACGCUCCAGGUAGUUGAGCUGCUCUGAGUUACUGAGGCCAUUACUGCACACAUCUGCUAUCCCAUAUGAACCACUGGCAUUAACAACAAGCAGCUCUUCAUUGAAUCGCAGAAUCACUAAGGUUGGAAAAGCCCUCCAAGCUCAUCGGGUCCAACCAUCCACCUACCACCAAUGUCACCCACUAACCCAUGUCCCCAGGCACCACGUCCAACCUUCCCUUGAACACCCCCCAGGCACCGUGACUCCACCGCUUCCCUGGGCAACCCCUUCCACUGCCUGACCACUCUUCCAGCACUGAGUUUGUGAUAGUAAAGACUCUUACUGUGAUCUUCCAAGUGCAUUUGCUGUUCGGAGGGUAGACUCCAGGAAACCCUUCGCUCCCAAUAAACCCCGACUCUCCAGACACAACUCCUCCACAUGCAAAGGUAGG